UUAGGAAUAUUCGUCAAUGGAGGAAACUCUGAACGAGCAAUGCCGCGUGAGCGAUGAAGGCCCUAUGGGUCGUAAAGCUCUGUUGUAAAGGAAGAAUACUUGAUAUAGGAAAUGAUAUCAAGCUGACGGUACUUUACCAGAAAGCCCCGGCUAACUACGUGCCAGCAGCCGCGGUAAUACGUAGGGGGCGAGCGUUAUCCGGAUUUAUUGGGCGUAAAGCGUGUGUAGGCGGUUUGUUAAGUAUAAGAUAAAAGCCCGGGGCUCAACUCCGGUUCGUCUUAUAAACUGGCAGACUUGAGUGUGGUAGAGGCAAGUGGAAUUUCUAGUGUAGCGGUUAAAUGCGUAGAUAUUAGAAGGAACACCAGUGGCGAAGGCGGCUUGCUGGGCCAUUACUGACGCUGAGACACGAAAGCGUGGGGAGCAAAUAGG
rnacentral:rRNA from 1 species